GAUGAACGCUAGCGGCAGGCCUAAUACAUGCAAGGCGAGGGGUUGGGUAACUAACACCGUCGUACGGGUGCGUAACGCGUAUGCAACCUACCUAUCACAGGGGGAUAGCCUUUGGAAACAGGGAUUAAUACCGCAUAAAGCAGGGGCUUGGCAUCAAGAUACUGCUAAAGAUUUAUCGGUGAUAGAUGGGCAUGCGUCUGAUUAGUUAGAUGGUGAGGUAAUGGCUCACCAUGACGAUGAUCAGUAGGGGGCGUCAGAGCGUGGUCCCCCACACUGGCACUGAGAUACGGGCCAGACUCCUACGGGAGGCAGCAGUAGGGAAUAUUGGGCAAUGGAUGCAAGUCUGACCCAGCCAUGCCGCGUGGAGGAAGAAGGUCCUCUGGAUUGUAAACUCCUUUUGUCGGGGAAGAAGAGUUCUCUUGCGAGGGAAUGUGACGGUACCCGAUGAAUAAGCCACGGCUAACUACGUG
rnacentral:rRNA from 1 species